CAAAGAGUACACAUGGACAGACCCAUGGCUCCAGCCACUUAUGUAGCAGAGGAUGGGUAGUAGGGCAUCUGGGAGUAGAGGCUCUUGGUCCUGUGAAGGAUUCAGAUCGGAAACUUGUAUCUCCCAGCCUCAAGAUCUGGGUCAUAGCCUUCCAAUUUUGGACUAACCCAGGACCACCAAUCCAAGGAAGUACCAUCUGUGAUGGCCUCAGCCUUCCCUCACCAGCCACUAAUUAAGAAAAUGCCCUACAGGCCUUUAUGUAGAACCAGCAAACACAAUAACAAAGAUAAAACAAAAAUCUUACAUUGAAGUUGGCAAGACCAACCAACAGAAAGAAGAAAGCAUAAGAGUCAGAGACCUACUUGUUUGUAUACUCAAGAAAUCCAUGAAAACUCUAAACCAUGUAUGUGUAUGGAACAGAUCUGGUGCAGACCUGUCUUGGUCCUUUGCAUCAUGUUUCAGUUUCUGUGAGUUCAUAUCAGCUUUGCUCAUGUUGAUUUAAAGGGCCUUGUUUGAUUAUUAUCUGUCAUCCCUUCUGGCUGCUUCCUUUACUACCAGAUUCCAUGACUUCUGAGGGGAGGGAUUUGAUGGAGACAUCUAUUUAGGGAUGAGUGUUCAAAGGUCUCUUUCUCUGUGUAAUGUCUGGCUGUAGCUCUCUCUGGUUGUUCCCAUCUGCUGCAGGAGGAAGUUUCCCUAAACAAAGUACUGAUCUAUAAGUAUAACAGACAAUGAUUAGAAGUCACCUUAUCACUAGUUUUAAAAAAUUGGUUUUCAAUGUUUAUUUUAUGUGCAGUGGUGUUUUGCCUGCAUAUAUGUCUCUGUGAGGGUGUCAGAACCCCUGAAACUGGAGUUAAAGAUAGUUGUGAGCUGUUAUGUGGGUGUUGGGAAUGAAAUCAGGGUCUUCUGGAAGAGCAACCAGUGCUCUUAACCUCUGAGCCAUGUCUCCAGAGCAUUCUUUAAAUGACCAGUAGUAUUUCGUUUUACGCUAGGUCUCCAGUCUAUCUGGUCUCUGGUUAUUGAGCAUCCAGGAGGUAUCAAGUUUGAGUUGCACUCAGAGUGGCCCUUAAUCAUGUAUUGGUUGGCUCACACCACAAGGUUUGUGCCACUAUUGCUCUAGCAUAUCUUAUAAACACUAUAGCAUUGCAGAUGUAUAGCAUGUAUAGAUGUAAAUAGUAUAGCAUUGUAGGUUUGUACUCUUUUGGCAGUGUGCAGAGUACCUUUCUGUACCAAAGAAGCCAGGAUGUAGUAAAGGCUUGACAUAGGCACCAGCUCACCUCUCCAUGUUCAGUGAGUUCUGCAGAUGUUGUCUUCAGCAGUGGGGCCUUGGUGUCAGUUUGUGGAGAGAAAUCUUUAUAGUCUUGGCAACUGCUCUGGUUGUUUGGGAAUUUCUGUUUGGCCAACUGCUU
ensembl:lncRNA